rnacentral:rRNA from 1 species
AUUGAACGCUGGCGGCAUGCCUUACACAUGCAAGUCGAACGGCAGCACGGGAGCAAUCCUGGUGGCGAGUGGCGAACGGGUGAGUAAAGUAUCGGAACGUGCCCAGUCGUGGGGGAUAACGUAGCGAAAGUUACGCUAAUACCGCAUACGAUCUAUGGAUGAAAGCGGGGGCUCGCAAGACCUCGCGCGAUUGGAGCGGCCGAUAUCAGAUUAGGUAGUUGGUGGGGUAAAGGCUCACCAAGCCGACGAUCUGUAGCUGGUCUGAGAGGACGACCAGCCACACUGGGACUGAGACACAGCCCAGACUCCUACGGGAGGCAGCAGUGGGGAAUUUUGGACAAUGGGCGCAAGCCUGAUCCAGCCAUGCCGCGUGCAGGAUGAAGGCCUUCGGGUUGUAAACUGCUUUUGUACGGAACGAAAAGGUUUGGCUUAAUACAUUGAACUCAUGACGGUACCGUAAGAAUAAGCACCGGCUAACUACGUGCCAGCCGCCGCCGUAA